rnacentral:rRNA from 1 species
UGGGGAAUCUUCCGCAAUGGACGAAAGUCUGACGGAGCAACGCCGCGUGAGUGAUGACGGCCUUCGGGUUGUAAAGCUCUGUUAAUCGGGACGAAUGGUUCUUGUGCAAAUAGUGCGAGGAUUUGACGGUACCGGAAUAGAAAGCCACGGCUAACUACGUGCCAGCAGCCGCGGUAAUACGUAGGUGGCAAGCGUUGUCCGGAAUUAUUGGGCGUAAAGCGCGCGCAGGCGGAUUGGUCAGUCUGUCUUAAAAGUUCGGGGCUUAACCCCGUGAUGGGAUGGAAACUGCCAAUCUAGAGUAUCGGAGAGGAAAGUGGAAUUCCUAGUGUAGCGGUGAAAUGCGUAGAUAUUAGGAAGAACACCAGUGGCGAAGGCGACUUUCUGGACGAAAACUGACGCUGAGGCGCGAAAGCCAGGGGAGCGAACGGGAUUAGAUACCCCGGUAGUCCUGGCCGUNNACGAUCANGUACUAGGUGUAGGAGGUAUCGACCCCUUCUGUGCCGGAGUUAACGCAAUAAGUACCCCGCCUGGGGAGUACGACCGCAAGGUUG